rnacentral:tRNA from 1 species
GUCCUUGUAGCUCAGCGGUAGAGCAGUAGGCUGUUUUAACCUAUGUGUCGGUGGUUCGAUUCCACUCAGGGACG